UACGUAGGGUGCAAGCGUUAAUCGGAGUUACUGGGCGUAAAGGGUGUGUAGGCGGUUCUCUAAGUCUGGUGUGAAAUCUCCCGGCUCAACUGGGAGGGUGCGCCGGAAACUGGAGAGCUAGAGUACUGGAUGGGAGAGUGGAAUUCCAGGUGUAGCGGUGAAAUGCGUAGAUAUCUGGAGGAACACCGGUGGCGAAGGCGGCAUCCUGGACCAACACUGACACUGAUGAGCGAAAGCCAGGGGAGCAAACGGG
rnacentral:rRNA from 1 species